rnacentral:tRNA from 1 species
GGAGGAGUAACUUAGCGGCUAAAGAGCUUGACUUUUAAUCAAGAUAUCGUGGGUUCGAGUCCCACCUCCUCCA